GUACUGAUGGAGAGUCCCAGACUAGGACGAAACAGAUGGCUGUCCAGUAC
rnacentral:hammerhead_ribozyme from 1 species